UACGUAGGGUGCAAGCGUUAAUCGGAAUUACUGGGCGUAAAGCGUGCGCAGGCGGUGAUGUAAGACAGGUGUGAAAUCCCCGGGCUUAACCUGGGAACUGCAUUUGUGACUGGCAGGCUUUGAGUGUGGCAGAGGGAGGUAGAAUUCCACGUGUAGCAGUGAAAUGCGUAGAGAUGUGGAGGAAUACCGAUGGCGAAGGCAGCCUCCUGGGCCAACACUGACGCUCAUGCACGAAAGCGUGGGGAGCAAACAGG
rnacentral:rRNA from 1 species